GACGAACGCUGGCGGCGUGCCUAAUACAUGCAAGUCGAACGCAGUGAGAACGGGUGAGUAACACGUGGGUAACCUCCCAUCAGAGGGGAUAACACUUGGAAACAGGUGCUAAACCAAUAAUGAUGGAUUGACCCGCGGUGCAUUAGCGAAUGGGUGAGGUAACGGCUCACCAAGGCCCCGAUGCAUAGCUGUCCUGAGAGUGGGAUCGUCCAAACGGGGACUGAGACACGGCCCAGACGCCUACGGGCGGGAGCAGUAGGGAAUCUUCGGCAAUGGACGAAAGUCUGACCUAGCAACGCCGCGUGAGUGAAGAAGGUUUUCGGAUCGUAAAUCUCUGGUGUUAGAGAAGCGGUAUCUAACCAGAAAGCCACGGCUAACUACGUGCCAGCAGCCGCGGUAAUAC
rnacentral:rRNA from 1 species